rnacentral:lncRNA from 1 species
UGUGGCUGAACUGAGGCUAGGAGAGCCACCUUCCCCAACACAAAGAGAAUGAAGUGGCAGCAGGAUAUAUCUGGUGGUCAGAGUUUAUGUUUCUACCUCUCUAUCCCCCUUUUCUACUUUCUACAACAGGGCAAAGAAGUAUAAUUCUGCUCAAAAUCUCCCUGGGUGCACAGAAUGAGGUGGAUUCUGAGACUGUCUGAAAUUGUAGAUGGACACACACUCAGGAUGAGCUGAGCUACUCUCUUUUAUGCCAGAAACAAAGCAGAAUUUGAGAGAAAGGCUUGUAUGAACACAAGUGCUGCUCCAAAAGCCAUAGACCCCGAUCAAUAUGUCUUCAAAGAGAUGGGUUCACACAAUCACCUUCUAAUGGAAGUGGGAAACACUGAAGGAGCCAAAUGAAGAGUCUACUUGCAAAGGCUCAAAGAUAAGAGACAAUAUGACUGCUGAACAUUUUAAUGAACAUGAUUCAGACUUUAAUUGGCAACA